ACGAACGCUGGCGGCGUGCUUAACACAUGCAAGUCGAACGGUGAGUCAAAGCUUGCUUUGAUGAUCAGUGGCGAACGGGUGAGUAACACGUGAGCAACCUACCCUUGACUCCGGGAUAACAGUUGGAAACAGCUGCUAAUACCGGAUACGACCUCGACCGACAUCAGUUGAGGUGGAAAGUUCUGGCGGUCAAGGAUGGGCUCGCGGCCUAUCAGCUAGUUGGUGAGGUAACGGCUCACCAAGGCUUCGACGGGUAGCCGGCCUGAGAGGGCGACCGGCCACACUGGGACUGAGAUACGGCCCAGACUCCUACGGGAGGCAGCAGUGGGGAAUAUUGCACAAUGGGCGAAAGCCUGAUGCAGCAACGCCGCGUGCGGGAUGACGGCCUUCGGGUUGUAAACCGCUUUCAGCUCCGACGAAGCGCAAGUGACGGUAGGAGCAGAAGAAGGACCGGCCAACUACGU
rnacentral:rRNA from 1 species